CGAUUUCCACAUCCUGACACUCUGACAGAGAAGGUCGGUCGCAGCUAAGCCUCUUCCUUCUCUCUCUCUCUCUCGCGCGCGCGCAAAGCCCUCGUACCGUCGACGGUCCACCGUGUGCCGAAGACGACUUUUCCGGUUAGUCCUUGGUGACUGGUAGUUCUACCUCUGUUGCUGAAGUGUCUUCUAGAUUGAUGUCCAUGGACGUGAAUUGAUCAUCUGCUUAUAUCCAUGGACGUUGAAUUUACUAUGUGAAGAGACCUUAAAACUCAUUAGCAAUGGCGGGCGAAGGGACUUCAGGCAUGUUCCAAUUGCAGCAAACGGUUGGCACUGUUCUUUGUUGCAUGUGUGGUGUACCUAUAACUCCAAAUAAUGUGAAUAUGUGUGUAAAAUGCUUGCGUUCACAAGUUGACAUCACUGAAGGUUUGCAGAAGCAUGUGAUAAUCUACCAUUGCCCAGAGUGUAAUUCUUAUCUGCAGCCACCAAAAACAUGGAUCAAAGCCCAGUUAGAAUCUAAAGAGCUUCUCACAUUUUGCAUUAAGAGGCUCAAGAAUUUGAACAAGGUUCACCUAUCACAUGCGGAAUUUAUUUGGACUGAACCUCACUCUAAGAGGAUCAAAGUGAAACUGAGAGUGAAGAAGGAGGUGUUUCAUAACACAAUAUUGGAGCAAGAAUACGUUGUUGAAUAUGUUCAGCAAGAGCAUAUGUGUGAAUCUUGUUCAAGAGUUCAAGCCAACCCUGACCAAUGGGUAGCAUCUGUGCAACUCAGACAGCACGUUGCUCACAGGCGGACCUUUUAUUUUCUAGAGCAGGUUAUCCUUAAGCAUGAUGCAGCUGUUCGUGCAAUAAAAAUUAAGCAGAUGCAUGAGGGUAUCGACUUCUUCUUUGGCAACAGAAGCCAUGCAGUGAAAUUUGUGGAAUUUGUUGGAAGUGUAGUCCCAAUUAGGAGUCGGCAUGACAAGCAGCUGGUUUCACAUGAUCCCAAGAGCAAUAACUAUAACUAUAAGUACACAUUUUCUGUUGAAAUUAGUCCAAUUUGCAGAGAGGAUUUAAUCUGCCUUCCUCCAAAAGUUGCUAUAAGUUCGGGGAAUUUGGGACCACUUGUGCUGUGCGUGAAGGUCAGCAAUAGCCUAAUGCUACUUGAUCCAUUCACUUUGAGGCAUUCUUAUCUUGAUGCUAACCAGUACUGGAGGGCUCCUUUUAAACCUUUAUUGUCAAGUAGACAACUAGUUGAAUAUGUGAUUCUUGACAUAGAACCUGCAGUUGGUGGGAUGAGUCAUAAUGGCACCAAGUAUGCAUUGGCAGAUGCACAGGUUGCCCGUGUAUCAGAUUUUGGGAAAAAUGAUCAGAUUUUCAAUGUGAGGACACAUCUUGGUCAUCUUCUAGCUCCUGGGGAUAAUGCACUUGGUUAUGAUUUAUAUGGAGCAAACAAUAAUGAUCUUGAACUUGACAAGCACAAAGGAUUUAGCCUUCCUGAUGCUGUUCUAGUGAAGAAGAGCUAUGAAGAGAAGCGCCAAAAAAGGCGUGGAAAAGCUCGUUCUUGGAAGCUCAAAAAUUUGGAGAUGGAAGUUGACAAUCCUUCGAAGGGCAGGACAGAUAUUGAUAAGAGAAAUAUGGAGUAUGAAAAGUUUUUGGAGGACUUAGAAGAAGACCCAGAAAUGAGGUUUAAUGUAUCGCUAUAUAGAAACAAAGAUUACCAACCUUCUGAGGUGACAUCUAUGGCUGAUGGAGAAGACCUUCCUUCUGUACCUCUGGAGGAGAUGCUUGCUGAUCUCGCAUUGAGUGAUGAAGAAGAAGAUGUCAACGAUGAUAUUAUGGGGGAGUGAUGAGAUUGUCAAGCUUACAUCCUUGAUUUUAGAGGGGCUGCUCUGCUCUGCAGUUUUGUGGUGAUUCCCUGCUGAACUUGCGGCCAUGCGCUAUGUAAGAAACCACCAUAAGAAAGCUUCGGUAGUCAAAUGGCAGCGUGGAGACUUGAUCCAAGGUCUUCAAUUUGACACUUUUCACAUUUCUCUUUUAUUGCCUGUUCAAUAAAUGUGGUUACUAUGGAAGGGCGUUUGGAUUUCCUUUGCAAUGGGGAAGCCGGCAAGCGUUCCACGGUGGCCGGCUUUAGACUGUUUAUACUGCUGAUUAGCGUAAUUUGGUAUGGAUCUGCUUAAGCCCAGCUUGGCGAUGAAAAAAUAAAAUGAGAAUCAACUGUUGAAUGGUGAUGCUUUGACUAGAACGACCUUUCAGUGGGCAGGUGAUUGAAGAAAGAUUAUAAUAAACAAAGAUGUAAGCGUUGGAAUUCAAGUGUCAAACUAAGACAUAUGGGGGUGGCUGAAAAGGUGAACACGGUUGCAGGUGCGAGACGGGACAACUAAUUUUGUAUUUUCGUAGGUUCAUGCCUGCAUACGCUUGUCAAAGAAACUUGGUGCCCAUGGAAAUCAAACCAACAACCGGUCUCUUGCGUCUCUUGCCGCCGCUGAUCCAACCAUUUACUCCAAUUUUCUUGGGACUACUGGAUAAAUCUAGUUGCUUGUUAAAGAUCAGUAGCUUGAGUCUACUCUAUAAUUGAUCACUAGUAAGAUUAGCAAUUGCAGUCGGAUGGCCAAUUACAGUUCAAUAUCUUUUCAUGUGUGUUACUUCGGGUGAGUGAAGAAAUCAUACUGCCCGAGUAAAGGCCAACCCCUGGCGGUUCGUGUGUAUUACUUGUUAAACCAAAAUUACAUGUACUUCUAAAUGGGGUAUACCGUUUGAACCAUGC